UACAGAGGUCUCAAGCGUUGUUCGGAUUCAUUGGGCGUAAAGGGUGCGUAGGUGGCGCGCUAAGUCAGGUGUGAAAUCUCGGGGCUUAACUCCGAAACUGCAUUUGAUACUGGCGUGCUCGAGGACUGGAGAGGAGACUGGAAUUCAUGGUGUAGCAGUGAAAUGCGUAGAGAUCAUGAGGAAGACCAGUGGCGAAGGCGGGUCUCUGGACAGUUCCUGACGCUGAGGCACGAAGGUCAGGGGAGCAAACGGG
rnacentral:rRNA from 1 species